AUUGAACGCUGGCGGCAUGCCUUACACAUGCAAGUCGAACGGCAGCAUGAUCUAGCUUGCUAGAUUGAUGGCGAGUGGCGAACGGGUGAGUAAUACAUCGGAACGUGCCCUGUAGUGGGGGAUAACUAGUCGAAAGAUUAGCUAAUACCGCAUACGACCUGAGGGUGAAAGUGGGGGACCGCAAGGCCUCAUGCUAUAGGAGCGGCCGAUGUCUGAUUAGCUAGUUGGUGAGGUAAAGGCUCACCAAGGCGACGAUCAGUAGCUGGUCUGAGAGGACGAUCAGCCACACUGGGACUGAGACACGGCCCAGACUCCUACGGGAGGCAGCAGUGGGGAAUUUUGGACAAUGGGCGAAAGCCUGAUCCAGCAAUGCCGCGUGUGUGAAGAAGGCCUUCGGGUUGUAAAGCACUCUUGUCCGGAAAGAAAUGGCUCUGGUUAAUACCUGGGGUCGAUGACGGUACCGGAAGAAUAAGGACCGGCUAACUACGUG
rnacentral:rRNA from 1 species